GAUAUCUUGAAAGAAUGGUGUAUCUAACUCUGCACAUUCGUUUGGUGGUCUAAUAUUCUGCACAAUGUGGUUUGCCAAAUCUUCAGGCACUUGGAAAUAUAAGGCUCCCAGCUCAGUCCAAUUAUCGAACCAGAAUUGAGCAG